GUGAGGAAUAUUGGUCAAUGGGCGAGAGCCUGAACCAGCCAAGUCGCGUGAAGGAUGAAGGUUUUAUGAAUUGUAAACUUCUUUUGCAGGGGAAUAAAGUACGGUACGUGUACCGUUUUGUAUGUACUCUGCGAAUAAGGAUCGGCUAACUCCGUGCCAGCAGCCGCGGUAAUACGGAGGAUCCAAGCGUUAUCCGGAUUUAUUGGGUUUAAAGGGUGCGCAGGCGGGUUGAUAAGUCAGCGGUGAAAGUUUGCAGCUUAACUGUAAAAUUGCCGUUGAAACUGUCGAUCUUGAGUGCAAAUGAGGUAAGCGGAAUGUGUUGUGUAGCGGUGAAAUGCUUAGAUAUAACACAGAACACCGAUUGCGAAGGCAGCUUACUGGGAUGCAACUGACGCUCAUGCACGAAAGCGUGGGGAUCAAACAGGAUUAGAUACCCUAGUAGUCC
rnacentral:rRNA from 1 species